UAUAUAGUGUAAACAGGGAUAGAUAACUGCUAAAAAGGUGGUUCAACAGGUAGAAUGGAUGAAUAGUCAAGAAAAGUAGUUAUCAUGUGUAGUAUAGGAGUUGGUAUCUCGGGGUAGUAUAAGGAGGAUGGAAGAGGGGAAGAAAAUACCAGACUGUGAGAGUUGUGAGCCGGGAUAAGCUUGGUGCUACCUCUUUUCUUU
rnacentral:lncRNA from 1 species